AUCAACUUUCGAUGGUAGGAUAGAGGCCUACCAUGGUGGUAACGGGUAACGGGGUGUUAGGGCACGACACCGGAGAGGGAGCCUGAGAAACGGCUACCACAUCCAAGGAUGGCAGCAGGCGCGCAAAUUACCCAAUCCCGACACGGGGAGGUAGUGACAAUAAAUAACAAUACGGGGUUCUUUAGGAUUUCGUAAUUGGAAUGAGUACAAUUUAAAUCUCUUAACGAGGAACAAUUGGAGGGCAAGUCUGGUGCCAGCAGCCGCGGUAAUUCCAGCUCCAAUAGCGUAUAUUAAAGUUGUUGCAGUUAAAAAGCUCGUAGUUGAAUUUCGGGGUUAGUAGGUUGGUCGUGCCACUGGUACGUACUGGUCUCACUGAUUCCUCCUUCCUGAUGAACUGUAAUGCCAUUAAUUUGGUGUUGCAGGGAAACUGGACUGUUACUUUGAAAAAAUUAGAGUGUUUAAAGCAAGCUAACGCUUGAAUACAUUAGCAUGGAAUAAUGAAAUAGGACGUUCGAUCCUAUUUUGUUGGUUUCUAGGAUUGACGUAAUGAUUAAUAGGGAUAGUUGGGGGCAUUAGUAUUCAAUUGUCAGAGGUGAAAUUCUUGGAUUUAUUGAAGACUAACUACUGCGAAAGCAUUUGCCAAGGAUGUUUUCAUUAAUCAAGAACGAAAGUUAGGGGAUCGAAGACGAUCAGAUACCGUCGUAGUCUUAACCAUAAACUAUGCCGACUAGGGAUCGGAUGAUGUUAAUUUUUUAAUGACUCAUUCGGCGCCUUACGGGAAACCAAAGUGUUUGGGUUC
rnacentral:rRNA from 1 species